ACGAUGGCUAGCCGGCCUGAGAGGGUGAUCGGCCACAAGGGGACUGAGACACGGCCCUUACUCCUACGGGAGGCAGCAGGGGGGAAUAUUGGACAAUGGACUAAAAGUCUGAUCCAGCAAUUCUGUGUGCACGAUGAAGGUUUUCGGAUCGUAAAGUGCUUUCAGUAGGGGAGAAAAAAAUGACGGUACCUACAGAAGAAGCGACGGCUAAAUACGUGCCAGCAGCCGCGGUAAUACGUAUGUCGCAAGCGUUAUCCGGAAUUAUUGGGCGUAAAGCGCGUCUAGGCGGCCUUCUAAGUCUGAUGUUAAAAUGCGGGGCUCAACUCCGUAUUGCGUUGGAAACUGGAUGGCUAGAGUAUCAGAGAGGUGGGCGGAACUACAAGUGUAGAGGUGAAAUUCGUAGAUAUUUGUAGGAAUGCCGAUUGGGAAGCCAGCUCACUGGAUGAAUACUGACGCUAAAGCGCGAAAGCGUGGGGAGCAAACGGGAUUAGAUACCCCGGUAGUCCACGCCGUAAACGAUGAUCACUAAGUGUGGGGGGUCGAACCUCCGUGCUCAAGCUAACGCGAUAAGUGAUCCGCCUGGGGAGUACGCACGCAAGUGUGAAACUCAAAGGAAUUGACGGGGACCCGCACAAGCGGUGGAGCAUGUGGUUUAAUUCGACGCAACGCGAGGAACCUUACCAGCCCUUGACAUCCCAAGAACUUAGCAGAGAUGCUUUGGUGCCUUUUCGGAGGAACUUGGUGACAGGUGGUGCAUGGCUGUCGUCAGCUCGUGUCGUGAGAUGUUGGGUUAAGUCCCGCAACGGGCGCAACCCCUUUCGUAUGUUACCAUCGUUAAGUUGGGGACUCAUGCGAUACUGCCGGUGACAAACCGGAGGAAGGUGGGGAUGACGUCAAGUCAUCAUGCCCCUUAUGGGCUGGGCUACACACGUGCUACAAUGGGCGAUACAGAGAGUUGCGAUACCGCGAGGUGGAGCUAAUCUCAGAAAGUCGUUCUUAGUUCGGAUCGCAGUCUGCAACUCGACUGCGUGAAGUUGGAAUCGCUAGUAAUCGCGAAUCAGCAAUGUCGCGGUGAAUACGUUCUCGGGUCUUGUACACACCGCCCGUCACACCGCGAGAGUUGGUUGCACCUGAAGUAGCAGGCCUAACCCGUUUACGGGAAGGAUGUUCCUAAGGUGUGAUUGGCGAUUGGGGUGAAGUCGUAACAAGGUAUCCGUACGGGAACGUGCGGAUG
rnacentral:rRNA from 1 species